GUACAAUAUAGCCACCUGGAGGAAAAGGACACAGACGCUUUCUCUGCUCUUCCUAACAAAGGCAUCCUGGUGAAUCAGACCUACUAAGGAAAAUGCUAAAGCAGAUAUUUCACUUGGAGCACAUGAAUAAUCCCACACCAACACUUGAAGGCCG
rnacentral:lncRNA from 12 species